UGUACUCGCAAUAUAUUAAAAUUGAAACAAUAUAGAGAAGAUUAGCAUGGCCUCGGCGCAAGGAGAAGAAUCGUUCACAAUCUUCGUUUGGAGUAUUU
rnacentral:snRNA from 1 species